GGUGAACGCUAGCGGCAGGCUUAACACAUGCAAGUCGAGGGGUAGGAGAAGCUUGCUUUUCUGAGACCGGCGCACGGGUGCGUAACGCGUAUGCAAUCUACCUUUCACAAAGGGAUAGCCCAGAGAAAUUUGGAUUAAUACCUUAUAGUAAUACGACUUGGCAUCAAGAUGUAUUUAAAGAUUUAUCGGUGAAAGAUGAGCAUGCGUCCCAUUAGCUAGUUGGUAUGGUAACGGCAUACCAAGGCUACGAUGGGUAGGGGUCCUGAGAGGGAGAUCCCCCACACUGGUACUGAGACACGGACCAGACUCCUACGGGAGGCAGCAGUGAGGAAUAUUGGACAAUGGGCGCAAGCCUGAUCCAGCCAUGCCGCGUGCAGGAUGACGGUCCUAUGGAUUGUAAACUGCUUUUAUACAGGAAGAAACACCUCUACGUGUAGAGACUUGACGGUACUGUAAGAAUAAGGAUCGGCUAACUCCGUGCCAGCAGCCGCGGUAAUACGGAGGAUCCAAGCGUUAUCCGGAAUCAUUGGGUUUAAAGGGUCCGUAGGCGGUCAGAUAAGUCAGUGGUGAAAGCCCAUCGCUCAACGGUGGAACGGCCAUUGAUACUGUCUGACUUGAAUUAUUAGGAAGUAACUAGAAUAUGUAGUGUAGCGGUGAAAUGCUUAGAGAUUACAUGGAAUACCAAUUGCGAAGGCAGGUUACUACUAAUUGAUUGACGCUGAUGGACGAAAGCGUGGGUAGCGAACAGGAUUAGAUACCCUGGUAGUCCACGCCGUAAACGAUGGAUACUAGCUGUUGGGAGCAAUCUCAGUGGCUAAGCGAAAGUGAUAAGUAUCCCACCUGGGGAGUACGAACGCAAGUUUGAAACUCAAAGGAAUUGACGGGGGCCCGCACAAGCGGUGGAGCAUGUGGUUUAAUUCGAUGAUACGCGAGGAACCUUACCAAGGCUUAAAUGUAGUUUGACCGGUUUGGAAACAG
rnacentral:rRNA from 1 species